rnacentral:lncRNA from 1 species
ACUCCUUGCAGCUGUAAGCAUGAAAAGCAAAACAUUUGAUGAUCACAUGAAAUUGAAAUUUAAGACGCCACUUGUUGUUUACAUCACAUAAAGUAGAAAAGGAAAACUCUGUGCAGACCUGCUCUACUAGAAUGCACCACUGAAAUUGGAUUUUUGAACAAUUUAAACUUUUGGGCCAGCGGGUCAGAAACAAAAUUGUGACACUUGUAGU